rnacentral:lncRNA from 1 species
UUGCUCUAAGCUCAUAAGCAGGAGAAAAGUAAUUAUGCAGAGCAAGCGGUUAAAUUAUGAAAAGGAUUGGACAUUCUGAGAAGGCUGAGACGUGGCUGCUCCUGUGUUUUCUCCCUGGGGUGCACUGCUCUACAAAGGUGAGCAGGCUGUGCAGGUCUUCGAGCUGAGGCAAGAAUGCCCACCUUGACUUCUGUUCUGCAGUGUUAGAGCUGUGCAGGCUGCCCCUGUGUUCUGGUAUUUUUAAGGGCCAACCAAAGGUGGCCUUGUCCCCACAUGAUCUACCCCACUUGCCCACUGCUUGGGCCUGAAUUUCCACCAUAGGGAUAGAUUCCUUCAUGUUUGAGGUGCUGUUCCAGGUUGAAAGGUAACUUGUACCACAGUUCAGAGAGCAGUCACUGAUAGGUUAUCUCAUCUGAUGAUCACAGCUUCUCAAUUAUUGUCAUUAAAACCCUUUGACAGAUAAGGAGAUUAAAGUUCACAGAGGUGAAGCCACUGGGCUCCCAAGGUCAUCACUGGGUGCCAGAACUAGGAACAGAGCCCAUAUCUCCUGGUAACCAGGUGAAUUCUCUUUCCAGCUUACCUGUCAUUCAUUGCCUGCUGUGUUUUUCAUGCAUAUGUGACUCAUGCUUCCACCUAGAUCACAUGUUUCUUGAGGUCAGAGCCCUUUCUGUGAUCUGCUUUACCUGUUUGACUUGCCUUGGUACAGAGAAUGGAGCUGCAAGACUCCCCUGGUCAGAUCACGUCGGGUCUCCUGAAGACACCAGGAGGAUUCUACUGUGCACAGGUUGAUUCAGUGUGUUUCCCAGUAAAGAAAAUAGGAUGCGGCCGUGCGCAGUGACUUACACCUGUAAUCCCAGCACUUUGGGAGGCCGAGGCGGGUGGAUCACCUGAGCUUCACGGAGCUACCUGAGUCAGCGCCUGCAUCUCCACCACCAUCAUCAUCGUCACUGUCUUCAUCGCCUCUGGGCUGGACCAGCCCCUGCCUGUGAGCUCCCUGGAGCCAGAGGUGCAAAGUCUGCAAUGACACAAAAAGCCAGCACGCUGGGAGGGGCUCUGGAGACCAUCUCAUUGUUCAUUCAUUUGUCUAUUCAAUCCAUUUUAUUGACUGCUCACUGUGUGCCAGACACAUGGGCCCUGGAGAUACAGAAGAAACACGUGAGGUCCCUGCCCUCCAGGAAUUAAGAAGAUAAAGUCAAAAGUGCUGUAAAGAACAACAGGAUGAUGGGCCAGUAUUUGAAGAGGUCGUUUUCAGAUGGGGUGGGCAGGGAAGGCAUGUCUGAGAAAGGAAUCUUUGUGGACACCUUAAUGCUUAGGACAUGGGGCUGAGAAAAGCAGGCAGAGGAAUUUCAGAUAACGCCUCAGUUGGUAAAAAGCUAGGGGGAUGGUGCAGGCAAGGAAUAGAAGGAAGGACAGUGUGGUGGGAGUUUGGUGGUGAGUGAAAGAGGGGCCUGGGGACCGUGCACACUUGAAGGCUGUAGCCGGGCAUCUGGCUUGGAUUUUGAGGACUGAGGGGACCAUUACAGGGCUUUAGGCAUGGGGAUGGCACGAUCCAAUUUACAUUUUUCAUGUCAUUCCAUCUGCUUCCUGGAGAACACAUGAUAGGAAGAAGGAACGUGGAAGCAGGGAGACCAGUGAGGUGGUAACUCCAGAAACAAAGAGGUGGCGGCUGAUGGGGCGAGUGGGAGGAGCCUGACCCUGGUGGAUUUUGGAGGCACAGAAGGCAAACCUGCUGGGGGAUUGUCUGUGGGGGACAGGGAGAGCAAAGACUGGGUGCCUUCCUCUUCCUGCCUUCCUCUUCCCGCUUUGCACCCCUUCUGGCCUGAAUCAUCUCCCUCAGGUAACUAAGAGGAGGGGGCAAAGGACUCCAGACUAUGUAGCCAGAUAUAGCCCCAGGUCCCCAGGGCUAUAUCUUGGGUCUGUGCAGAAACUAGGGACGUGGGGGCCAGAGGUAUUUUUAGCCUUCUAGCUCUCUCCUUCUGUCUUCUGCAAUCCCUCUCCCUACCCCCUUCCCCCUUCUUCUCUCCUUCUCCCUUCCCUCUCCAGCUCCUUCCCCCACCUCCUGCUCCUCUUUCUCUCUCUCUCACACACACAUACACACACACACACACAUACACACACACACACACACACACACACACACACGAAGCAGCCUUAUCAGGAGGAAGCCUCCAGCAGAGACAAGCGGUCUCCAGGGACAGAGCAGAGGAGCUGACAGGAGUUUCCGGAGCAGGGGGAGGCUGACUUCCCUGCCUUCCCCAUUCCUUCCAGCUCCCACUGCCUCUCGCUUCCUGCAGCAUUUCUCUCCAGACGCGCGCUUCUCAACUGGAGGCCACUUUGUCUUCCUGGGACAUUUGGCAAUAUCUGGAAACAUUGUUGGUUGUCAUAACUGAGGAGGGGGCAGGGUUGGCAUGGAGUGGGUAGAGACCAGAGAUGCACAGGACAGCCCCCAUAACAAAGAAUGAUCGGCGCCAACAGUGCUGAGAGCCCUCCCUAGGCUCUGCCGGCAGAGCUGGAAGGGACUGUCCUCUUCCUUGUGGUCCCACUAUCACCACACUGGCCACACUGUCCCUGCAUUAUCUCUAUUGGUCUUCUCAGCCACACUGUGAGGUACAUAGUAUUAUUCACCCAAGGUCAUGCAGGCAGUAAGAGGCAGAGCUGGGAUUAAGACUGUGAAGCCUGUGGUUUAACUGGUCUCUCUCUACUGAAGGGGUUGUCACAGCCUGUGUCAUUGUUAUUAGCAAUGGGACACGCUGUCUCAAGUGAAGUCUUAUUCAGAAGUCCAAUGUAAGUCCACUGUGUAAGACAGAGAGCGUAGAACUGCCUAGGGUGAAGCAGUGUGGGAGGUUAUGAACCCCCUGGGCCCACCCCUCUUCCCACCUUAUGGAGCCUCCAAAAGCCAUCUGUCUAGCCGGGCAGGGCCCCUGUGGAGGGCUGCACAGGUUGUGCACUGCAAAACUCUAGGAGAGGCCACUCCCAUGGGCUUCUUCGUGGGGCCUGUUGAGGUAAGGCAGAGCUCCUUUAGGGAAGGGUGGCAAAUGGGAUUUCUCCCAUUGCAGACAUGUGUUGCUUAGCAGACAAGGUGUCACGGUAGCCUAAUAAGGUCUGGAGUAGGAAAGCGGGAUGAGAGUGGCUGAGUGGCCAGCAUCUGCCUUCCUGGUCCUAAAAUAUGGAGAAUAGAAAAUAGAAUUGGAGGCCAGGCGCGGUGGCUCACGCCUGUAAUCCCAGCACUUUGGGAGGUCGAGGUGGGCAGAUCACCAGGUCAGGAGAUCAAGACCAUCCUGGCUAACACGGUGAAACCCCGUCUGUACUAAAAAUACAAAACAAUUAGCCGGGCGUGGCGGCAUGUGCCUGUUGUCCCAGCUACUCAGGAGGCUGAGGCAGGAGAAUGGCGUGAACCCGGGAGGCAGAGCUGGCAGUGAGCCGAGAUCGUGCCACUGCACUCCAGCCUGGGUAACAGAGCAAGACUCCAUCUCAAAAAACAAAAAGAAAAGAAAAUGGAAUUGGACUAGGAGAUAUCUUGACACUCCCCACCCUUGCAACUUAGCAGCGACUCAACAAUGAAGCUGCCAACCCUCGUUCCAAAACCUUACAAGACCUGAGGCUCGUAUAUACACUAGUCCCCCAGGAAAGCCUUCCCUAACCCUAGAGCCUCUCUCCCCAGAGCCCCAUCAGGUUUCCUUUUUGGGGCCUCCUGUUGUUCAUCUUUAUCUAAACCUGGAUUCAUGUUUGGGCAGAGAAGCUGUAGUUGAGGUUGUCACCGCCUUCUCAACCCUCCUGGGGAAGGCUUGGGCUAGACCUGGCAGAAGGGGUUGGAUAGGGGAUGUCCCUCUCCAGGUCUCCCCGUGGAGUGAGACCCUUUCCCCUUGAGUGCCAUGGUGGCUCCCCAGGCAUCAUCAAGCCACCUGGCAUCUUGGUGCUUUGACAUGAGAUCCAGUAGACACCCUGUAAAGGAGGACUGUGGGCACUGCCUGCUCUCUCGGCAUGGGCUUCUCCAGCUGCCCUGCACUUGGGCAUCUUACAGCCUGGAAUAAAUCCUCCUGGCCCAUGUCCCCUCUGCCUGGACCCAGCUACAGAGUGAUACUGCUGAUGCCAGAACUGACUCUUCUGUUCCAACAGGGAGUGGUGCCCUCGGGUCCCAAGAGGGCUGCAGACUGCAGGCCUCCCUGAAGUGAAGAUGCAGCAAAGUGGAAGACAGCACACGGAAACCAUGCAGCAGCUCCCUCUGGGGAAGAGAAAGAGGGAGCCACGUUGCUCUAUACCCUGUGGACUUCUUGCAAUAUGAACCUUCAUGGACCUAAGAAAAAUAAUAAUAAAGGAAAAAAUAGCCAGGUGGGCUGGUUCACACCUGGGAUCCCAGCACUUUAGGAG